AUCCAGCUGACCAGUCUCAGACAGGACGAAACGCGCAUCCUGGAU
rnacentral:hammerhead_ribozyme from 1 species